UGUAAAUAUUUCAUAUGUGUUUAAAAGACAAAAAAAGAGUUCAAAUGGUUAAAAAUGUGUUUAAAAUCACAAUAAAUAGAAGUCAAUCAUAAUUUAAGUGUUCAUGGAGUUAUAAGUUACAAGAAAUCCAAAGGUUUGUUAUCUAAUGUGAAACAAGGAAAACUCUGUAUUGCUUCAAGUUGUUUUACGAGUUCAUUUUGGGUUGUCAAUCUUGUAUUUUCUUUUAUCCCAUUGGUUGAUGUAAACCUAUUGUCCAAUCAGAUGUAGGGGAGGCGGGAUCUAAGUGAGGCGGAAGGAAAAAACACUAACUAAGCUAGUGAGAGUCGGCAGCAGCACGUUACCGGAGGAGGUUGUGUAUCAGAGCUAAUAGUCAAAACAAUAGCCGUGGAUGCAGAGUCUACGUUCCUGUUAUGGACUGUUUUACCCUGUGAUGAUGGACCGAGAGGAAUUCUCUGGACCCUUCUGCUGUGGAUAGGAUUUCCGUGUGUUUGUCCCAGUGUACUCAGCAGCCCGGGUAUACCGCUAAUUCCGACCACGUUGCCGAGUGGAGGCCGCAUGGUCACCAACCGAGCCUGCCCCUCAGCUUGCCCUCGCACUUAGCCCAAAGGAUUUGUGAGUAGACCUGAGCACGUGCGGUUUGUUUUCUGCUUGUUUAUCAAGUGAAGCGGCCAUUUGUGUUUUCUGGUCCAACGAGCCCGAGCAACGAUCAGGCCUGCAACGGUUUCAGUGAAUGAGCUCACAAAGGUUACAAAUUUUGAACUGAACUCCAUGGGAAUAUUUUGGAUAAAUGUGUUGUUUCUAAAACAUUGACUGUGAAUUGUGAAGAGAAAAAAGAAACAUCCAAUUGAAUUGUAAGGAAACACUUAAGAACUUGGAAUAUUGUAUUUUUAUUUAUUUAAAUCAUAUUUUAUUUUGACUAAAUCUUACAAUUUGAAUUUAAA